AACGAACGCUGGCGGCAGGCCUAACACAUGCAAGUCGAACGCCCCGCAAGGGGAGUGGCAGACGGGUGAGUAACACGUGGGAACCUUCCCUGUAGUACGGAAUAGCCCAGGGAGACUUGGAGUAAUAGCGUAUACGCCCGAAAGGGGAAAGAAUUUCGCUAUAGGAUGGGCCCGCGUAGGAUUAGCUAGUUGGUGAGGUAAUGGCUCACAAAGGCGACGAUCCUUAGCUGGUUUGAGAGAACGACCAGCCACACUGGGACUGAGACACGGCCCAGACUCCUACGGGAGGCAGCAGUGGGGAAUAUUGGACAAUGGGCGCAAGCCUGAUCCAGCCAUGCCGCGUGAGUGAUGAAGGCCUUAGGGUUGUAAAGCUCUUUUGGCGGGGACGAUAAUGACGGUACCCGCAGAAUAAGUCCCGGCUAACUUCGUGCCAGCCGCCGCUGUAACAC
rnacentral:rRNA from 1 species